rnacentral:siRNA from 1 species
CUGUCCCUGUCUACUAUCC